rnacentral:lncRNA from 1 species
UUUGAAUGGUCCUCCUUCCAGGACUUCCUCCUAGGAAGGAGUCGCGGUCCCAGAACUUGGUUCUUCCGGCUGCGCCGCUGCUGACUGUCCGACGCCUGCGGGCUUGUG